ACCCUAACUGGCUAACCUUAUCUCCAGAGUCCAGCCGCCGCCACUCAGCCAACGAAAAAAGAAAAAAUCGCUCCCCCUCAGGCCCAUCGCUCUCCCCAGCUCCUCCGCAGUCUUGGGCGCCCUCGACGCCGGCGGCCGUCUUGGGCUCGACGGCCGUCCUCAGCCCCACCAUUCUCUGCUUCCAGGUCGUCCUCUCCCCAGCCGUUCUCCACUCCGCCCCAUCUGCCGCGUCUCCUCCUCCGCCCCAUCUGUUGCGUGACGUACUUCCGCAUCUGCUGCGUGCCCUAGCCCUCAUGCUUCCUCCGGACAGAUGCCCUUCACUGUGAACAGUCUAGGCCGUUGAAUCUCCUUCCUGCUCAGAACAACUUUGCUUCUUUUUGCGAUCGAUCAGGUCACCAGGUAGAGGUAAAAAUGGUGCUUUUUUUUUUUUGCAAUCAGGUCAUUCCUUAAAGCUUGCUGGUACGUGAAUAGAUCAGAUGGAUAUUAGUGCAGGUCAUUCCUUAAAGCUUGCUGGUACGUGAAUAGAUCAGAUGGAUAUUAGUGCAGAUCCGUCAAUUUCUCCUCUUUAUCUUAGGAUUUUUUUAUCCUAUUAGGUCCUAUUAGUACCGAUCUGUUAAUGUACUAGUAAAAGAGAUAGUGGAUUGGCAUAUGGUGACGCUUAGUUCAUAGGGUAUAAUCAGAUAUACCAUAUGCAUGAAUGGUGCACAUAUGUAGGAGUGCAGUAGUUAGCAUUGUGCAUUAGAGGUACUUUUUUAGAGGCUCUAGUGCUUAGGUUUAUAGGUUGAAGUAUUGUCUGAUGAUAAUAAAUCUAGCAAAUUAAUUAAGUAUGAUUUAUAAUCUUCCAAAUUAAGUAUGAUGUCUAAAACAGAUUGUGCCCUGUUUUUUCAGGUUAGGUAUUUGAGAAGGACGCUGGUCAGUGUUGAGGACUGCUACUAUACAAUUCUCUGUGGAAAGGGGCAAUCUAAGGAUAUAUGGAGGCAAUUCCUUGUACAAGUAGGAACAUUGACUAAAUUUGAGAAGGUUACCUGAGGUGAUCUGGUUUUGGAGCCUUAUCCUUGCAGGUUGGGCUGUGCUGUUUUGAUGCGUGUAGCAGUGAAGUUUUGUUUGCUGGAACGUGGCUGCAGGCUGCUGGGUACUUUUGUGUAGUUUGGUCGCUCCGUGGUUGAUACUUUUGAGUAGUUUCGUGGCUCCGUGGUUGGUACUUUCGUGUAGUUUGGUGGCUAGAAUGUUUUUGGUGUAUGUAACAUGUAUUCUGGAACAUAUGCUUUUGUUGGCUGGAAUAUUAUCUGUGGCUAGAAUAUAUCUGUUGCAUUGUUGGUUAUUAUAUU